GCGUCGGUAGCCGAGUGGUUAAGGUGUAGGACUCAUGACCGAAAGGUUGUGGGUUCGAAUCCUAGCCGCGGCA
rnacentral:tRNA from 1 species